UCAGACAUGGUGUAUGGCACACAGCUCCUGUCCUUAACGAAGUGAAGAAAGAUUGGUUGGGAGGCAGACCGGGGUUCGAUUCCCCGUGUCUGAG